rnacentral:rRNA from 1 species
GACGAACGCUGGCGGCGUGCUUAACACAUGCAAGUCGAACGGAAAGGCCCCUUUGGGGGUACUCGAGUGGCGCACGGGUGAGUAACACGUGAGUAACCUUCCCUUUACUUCGGGAUAACUUCAGGAAACUGGGGCUAAUACCGGAUAGGAAUCCUUGCUGCAUGGUGGGGGUUGGAAAGCUUCGGCGGUUUUGGAUGGACUCGCGGCUUAUCAGCUUGUUGGUGGGGUAGUGGCUUACCAAGGCUUUGACGGGUAGCCGGCCUGAGAGGGCGACCGGCCACAUUGGGACUGAGAUACGGCCCAGACUCCUAAGGGAGGCAGCAGUGGGGAAUAUUGCACAAUGGGCGGAAGCCUGAUGCAGCAACGCCGCGGGCGGGAUGACGGCCUUCGGGUUGUAAACCGCUUUCAGCAGGGGCGAAGCUUGUGGUGACGGUACCUGCAGAAGAAGCACCGGCUAACUACGUG